rnacentral:rRNA from 1 species
UGCCCAAGAGAUCGGGAUAACACCUGGAAACAGAUGCUAAUACCGGAUAACAAUAGAUGAUGCCUAUCAACUGUUUAAAAGAUGGUUCUGCUAUCACUCUUGGAUGGACCUGCGGUGCAUUAGCUAGUUGGUAGGGUAACGACCUACCAAGGCGAUGAUGCAUAGCCGAGUUGAGAGACUGAUCGGCCACAUUGGGACUGAGACACGGCCCAAACUCCUACGGGAGGCACAGCC